GUAAGUGAAGUUAUUCACUUACCAAUAACUAUCUCUCAUUGUUUGAGAUCUGUUCCUGGUGCAUUAACUUUUGGGCCACUUUCAGCCUGCCCUGCAGAGAGGCUGAGCAGCUUUGCAAGUCAGACAAAGUUCUUUGAGAAACACAGAGGCAUAUGCAUCAACUUCUGAGAUGACUCUUCGGGUCAUUCAAGGGAAUAUGGACAGGUCAUUAACUGAGGCUGCUAUACUUCUAUUGCAUUUCAUUGAUAAGGAGAUUGACCCCAAAAUGUUUCAGUAACUUGUCUGAAAUCAAAGGGUUUAUUAGACCUUAUUUAAACCUUGGUCGGAUUAAGAUAUCCACUACCCAAAUCCCACCCCCACCUACUGCUUUUGGCUGGGUGUGAACUCUUUCCUUAACUCCGUCUUAUCUCUUGCUGCUGGGCCUGGGAGAGAAAAGGUGUGGCUGUAUCCUCUGGUGAGGAGAACAGUCAAACAUUAUACAGCAAGAUGAAAUCAAAGAGUGAUGGGAAACUGAAUGCAACUUUUUCUGGAGAUUGCUACCAUACAAAAAAAUCAGCUCAGCCUGCACCAGGGUAAUUAUACAUUUUCAGGAUACUUUGGAAUUCCAGACAGUGGACCCAAGCAUGGAAACAAGCAUAUAAGAUCCAGCAAUACAUGGAAAUUGGAACAAGCCAAUAGAUUAUACUGACAAGUGGCUGAGUCCUCUCACAACUGUAUAUCCUUGAGAAGUAGUUCUAGUACAGUAGGAAAAUUAGUGAAAGCAAUAGAGGAUUCUGGAAUUGAAAGAAUUGAUGUUAUGUGCUUGUACCAAGCAGGGAUCUAGUCUUCCGAUAUAUGAACAUGGAUCAUUGAAGUACCAUGCGAUGCUUUGCCCUAAAAAACCAGAGAAGAAUGGGCCCCAAGAACUGGUGAGAGUAAGCAGCAAGAAUGUGGAGGAACGUGGAGCUCUUUAACCUGAGAAAAUAUUGUGGAGAAUUGGCUUUCCUGAGUUUCUCAUUUGUUUCAUUGAAGAUAUUUAUGCAUAACCAAUACAGUAAUUAAUGAGCAUUGUAGCAGAUGAUGGACUUAGAGUUUAUUACAUUCUGUUUAUUACAUUGCAGCCAAUAAACCACAUCCUUUGUAAUAAAAACUAUUAUAGCGCUGGCUUCUGA